AGCCACCAGCGAGAUUCGAACUCGCGACCCCUGGUUUACGAGACCAGUGCUCUAGUCUCUGAGCUAUAGUGGC
rnacentral:tRNA from 13 species